rnacentral:rRNA from 1 species
UACGGAGGAUGCAAGCGUUAUCCGGAAUGAUUGGGCGUAAAGCGUCCGCAGGUGGCUGUGUAAGUCUGCUGUCAAAGAGCGAAGCUCAACUUCGUAAAGGCAGUGGAAACUACACGGCUAGAGUGCGUUCGGGGCAGAGGGAAUUCCUGGUGUAGCGGUGGAAUGCGUAGAUAUCUGGAGGAACACCGGUGGCGAAGGCGGCAUCCUGGACCAACACUGACACUGAGGAGCGAAAGCCAGGGGAGCAAACGGG